rnacentral:rRNA from 1 species
CACUCCUACGGGAGGCAGCAGUGGGGAAUUUUGGACAAUGGGGGCAACCCUGAUCCAGCAAUGCCGCGUGAGUGAAGAAGGCCUUCGGGUUGUAAAGCUCUUUUGUCAGGGAAGAAACGGUGGUGGCGAAUAACUACUACUAAUGACGGUACCUGAAGAAUAAGCACCGGCUAACUACGUGCCAGCAGCCGCGGUAAUACGUAGGGUGCAAGCGUUAAUCGGAAUUACUGGGCGUAAAGCGUGCGCAGGCGGUUGUGUAAGUCAGAUGUGAAAUCCCCGGGCUCAACCUGGGAAUUGCAUUUGAGACUGCACGGCUAGAGUGUGUCAGAGGGGGGUAGAAUUCCACGUGUAGCAGUGAAAUGCGUAGAUAUGUGGAGGAAUACCGAUGGCGAAGGCAGCCCCCUGGGAUAACACUGACGCUCAUGCACGAAAGCGUGGGGAGCAAACAGGAUUAGAAACCCUAGUAGUCCCAUG